UCAGGUUCUCUACUAUGUGUAAUCUCAUAUCAAGAUUAAUGAGUAUCAUGAUCGUAUAAUUUUGAAUCCUAUCAACCCAUAUGGCAAGGCAAAGAAAAUGACAGUGGACAUCAUCCUAGAUUUUACAAAAUCAAAGGAGCAACCAGACAUGGCUGUCAUGAUCUAAGAUACUUCAACGUGAUUGGAUCGAACCCAGACAUAUGACU